rnacentral:rRNA from 1 species
UACGGAGGGUGCGAGCGUUGUCCGGAAUCACUGGGCGUAAAGGGCGCGUAGGCGGUGCGAGAAGCGUGUGGUGAAAGGCCGGGGCUCAACCCCGGCUCGGCCGUGCGGACUCUCGCGCUUGGUGAGUGCUGUAGAGGCGGGCGGAAUUCCGAGUGUAGAGGUGAAAUUCGUAGAUAUUCGGAAGAACACCAGUGGCGAAGGCGACUUACUGGACACAUACUGACGCUGAGGUGCGAAAGCGUGGGGAGCAAACAGG